AUACUACUCCCUCCGUCCGGAAAUACUUGUCAACAAAAUGGAUGAAAAUGGAUGUAUUUAGAACUAAAAUACAUCUAGAUACAUCCAUUUCAAUGACAAGUAUUUCCGGACGGAGGGAGUACUAA
rfam:Triticum urartu cultivar G1812 contig696443, whole genome shotgun sequence.